GGCCGGUUAGCUCAGUGGUUUGAGUGCGGUGCUGACGACAAUGACAACACCGAGGUCGCGGGUUCAAUUCCCACUCGGUCC
rnacentral:tRNA from 1 species